rnacentral:RNase_P_RNA from 1 species
UAAGCGGAACAGCCGCCUGCGCAGUGUAAGGCCGCGUGGGAGGAAAGUCCGGGCUUCACAGAGCAGGAUAGCGGAUAACGUCCGCCAAAGGCGACUUUAGGACAAGUGCAACAGAAAUAUACCGCCUCGGCCCUGUGCCGGGGUAAGGGUGGAAAAGCGAGGUAAGAGCUCACUGAACCCAUUGGUAACAAUGGGCUCCUGUAAACUCUAUCCGAAGCAACAUCAAGCGGGAACAGCGCAUUGCGCAGGGCUUGCUCGGCCCGUUCCCCAAAAGGGUGGCUUGAGGCGCGCGGCGACGCGCGACCCAGACAGAUGGCUGUUUUUUAACAGAACCCGGCUUACAGGCUUGCUUG